rnacentral:rRNA from 1 species
CCGGGCUUUUACAAGUCUGGCAAUUGGAAUGAGAACAAUUUAAAUCCCUUAUCGAGGAUCAAUUGGAGGGCAAGUCUGGUGCCAGCAGCCGCGGUAAUACAUAGGUCCCCGUGCC